GAGUUUGAUCAUGGCUCAGGAUGAGCGCUAGCGGCAGGCUUAACACAUGCAGGUCGAGGGGUAGUAUAGCAAUAUAUGAGACCGGCGCACGGGUGCGUAACGCGUAUGCAAUCUACCUUUUACAGGGGAAUAGCCCAGAGAAAUUUGGAUUAAUGCCCCAUGGUAUAAUUGAUUGGCAUCAAUUAAUUAUUAAAGUUCCAACGGUAAAAGAUGAGCAUGCGUCCCAUUAGCUAGUUGGUAUGGUAACGGCAUACCAAGGCGAUGAUGGGUAGGGGUCCUGAGAGGGAGAUCCCCCACACUGGUACUGAGACACGGACCAGACUCCUACGGGAGGCAGCAGUGAGGAAUAUUGGACAAUGGGCGCAAGCCUGAUCCAGCCAUGCCGCGUGCAGGAAGAAGCAUCUAUGGUGUGUAAACUGCUUUUAUACAGGAAGAAACACUCCCUCGUGAGGGAGCUUGACGGUACUGUAAGAAUAAGGACCGGCUAACUCCGUGCCAGCAGCCGCGGUAAUACGGAGGGUCCAAGCGUUAUCCGGAAUCAUUGGGUUUAAAGGGUCCGUAGGCGGUUUAAUAAGUCAGUGGUGAAAGCCCAUCGCUCAACGAUGGAACGGCCAUUGAUACUGUUAGACUUGAAAUAUUAG
rnacentral:rRNA from 1 species